rnacentral:rRNA from 1 species
GACGAACGCUGGCGGCGUGCUUAACACAUGCAAGUCGAACGGAAAGGCCCCUUUGGGGGUCCUCGAGUGGCGAACGGGUGAGUAACCCGCGCGUAACCUGCCCUUGACUUCGGGAUAGCUUCAGGAAAAUGGGGCUAAUACCGGAUAGGAAUCCUUGCUGCCUGGUGGGGGUUGGAAAGCUUCGGCGGUUUUGGGUGGACUCGCGGCCUAUCCGCUUGUUGGUGGGGUAGUGGCUUACCAAGGCUAUGACGGGUAGCCGGCCUGGGUGGGCGACCGGCCACAUUGACACUGAGAGUCGGCCCAGGCUCCUACUGGAGGCAGCAGUGGGAAAUAUUGCACAAUGGGCGGAGGCCUGAUGCAGCAACACCGCGGGCGGGAUGACGGUCUUCGGGUUGGAAACCUCUUUCAGCAGUAGCCGAGCUUGUGGUGACGGUACCUGCAGAAGAAGCACCGGCUAACUACGUG